UCCUACAGUCAUUCUUCCAACAUAAAGGGAAAACGGACUCACUAGGAGGACCUAGACUCUUUCAGCUUGAACUGUUAACCAAUGGUGGAAAUGCAAGAAUGCUGAAGUUGUGCCUUCAGAGCCAAUAGAGUGGAUUUGUGUGUCCCACAUGACUGUGUUUCCCCUGUCUUUCACAUGGGCAGUAUUUAGUUCAAUUCAGAACUGCAGAUAGUAUAGCGUGCAGAGCAGCAAUGGGAUGUCUGAGCACAAGUGGCUGACUUCCAGGCGACUUCAGGAAGCACAUUUAUACAUUUCUCCUGAAUUAAACUGGGAUUCUGCACCCUUGACAUUCUCCAACCCUCCUUGUCGAUGCAGAAGGAGACAACGACCUGCACAGCACAACAAAACUACAAAUCACCACAGUGCUGCAGACCAGCAAUGAAGGGAGCUGAGGGCAAUUUGACCAACAUCAUCUGUGUCGGUUCCCCAGAUGUCAAUGAAACACGUAAUCGGGUCUCCAAGACCACAAGCCUCGGAAGAUCACUGUGCAAGAAACACACUGGGCCAACCCAUCCUGUUGAUAUGACACAAAGUGCAGCCCAGUUUGGUAUUCUUUCCACUCUGAAGGAGUCUCACACCAGGAUUUGCUCUGAUGCCUGCUCAGAGGAGCAGAAAGCAGAGGGAAAGGGACCUGUACACACUGUCAGCCUGCUGUGCAAGACACGCUAAAAUGAUGCCAGCGAGGCAUUUCUGCAGAGGGGGUCUCAGCUCCAGCCUGGCUGAAGCAACAGAGAAGUUGUCUGGGAGAUAUUCUGUGGCCAGUGGCUUUGGGCUUCUCCAUGAGCAAAAGGUCUGGCAAGUGAAGAACUAAAUGACAAAUACCAUAUCAGCUAAGCACAGAAGCAUUCCAUGUAAUAGAAGAUACCCACACUUUGAGACCAGAGACCAAUUUAACUCCUUAACCAUGCAGGAUGGCAAAACAUUUGUUACAUAACAGCAACUUCACAUGGCAUUUUUACAUCCUGCCAUCUUUUCACUGAAGAACAGAAGAUUAGACUUCUACCGACUCUGAGAGACGGGGAGUGGAGCCAGCAGCAAUAUUUAGCACAGAGUGACUGAUUUCUGGCACCAUCUAGCUUCUCUGCAAGAGGAAUCUGGCAGCCUGAUGAGCAUCCAGGUAUCAGCUGGUGUAAACGCAAAUGCCAGUGACGUCAAUGGAGCUGUGUCAGUUUACUCUAGCUGAGAAUCUGAUCCCAAGUGUGCUACUGCCAUUUUUAGACUCUGCCACUGGAAUUCACUUUUGCAAGACAAUUAAAAAAACACAUCCACUCAUUGCAUUUCUUCCUGUCCCCAAGUGUAUAACUGGAAGUCUGUUGACAGACUGUGGGAGAGGGCAAGUGGGAGGUGGAAGUAGCCAACAACUGCAUCCAUGAGAUAACUUUGCAGUAUCAGUAUGAAUACUGCUCUGUUGUCUUCCUUUUAUACAAAUGAAUGUUUGGCUUCAGAAAGUUUUAACUCCACCUUCCACUAACAAACAAUUCCAUGUCAGCAGAAGAAAAAUGAUGCUGUAAACCACAUGGAGUAUCUACCUUAUAAAUUUGUUAACAUGGUAUUUUAACCAGUAUACAAACUCAACAGACUAUUUUAUUGCACUAUUAGAAAAAGUACCUUAAGCUACAAGAGCCCCAUGGCUGAGUUCUCUGUAUUCACCUAAGCAAUCUCCCUGCUGUAAGGGAGACCAGCAAUAAGAUUGGGAACAGUUCUAAGGCAGCUGUUUGACGUGGCCUGCAAGCCAGACUUCUAUCUGGCUAACAUCUUUCAUAUCUCAUCUAGCAUUUGUGUGAGCAAGAGAGAAGAAAGGAAAAGGUGGGGCAGUAAGCAGGGCAGAGUAGUACUUGACAGCGCCACCAUUUUAAGCAGAGAGAGGGAGGUUUUGUCUGUUUUACAUAAGGCAGUUAUUAACAUGAGUGCACUGUAUAACAGCUCCCCGGUAUUAACGUACAAUGAAGUUGGAAUGUUGGUAUUUGACUCAACAUAGCAAGGUCAAAAUGGAAAAGGUAAUUAAUUAGAACUGAAGAUGCAGUCCACAUGGUAUUGAACUAAUUUUCUAUUUGUGCAACACAACAACCAUAUCUUCAAUUUAGGUCAGGCCAUCAAGAGGAGGAAAAGGACUGAAGAUGAGAUGCUCUACUUCACACAGUUGCCCUCUGGAAGGACUUGCAAAGGCAGUCACUUAAAUUAAGUACAGGUCAUCAGACAAGAUAUCUAAUCUAUUCCUAAGACAGGCAGCUCUAGCAGUCCAAAUCCCUAUGGCCUUUGUAGCGACAUGAUGAACUACUUCCUCAUGUACCUCUGUCAAUUCACAUUAGGUUCCAGUUUUCUUAAAGCGAUAUUUCAUGUACAUCAUGACCCUAUUGCUCAAAGCAAGGAAAGUGCUUUGGUUUAUUUAUGACCUACUAACCUUAAAUAAAAUAAAAAAAAUACAUUCAAUCUGAAUGUUCACAUAAGCAUGCAGAUCUGAAAUAAAAUUUAAAAUAAACCUGGCAUUUGUAAUAGCUAGCUAAGCCUGGUAAGGGAUUUUUAAAAAAAUGAAACGAGAUGAAAGAAGAUGAAAGCAUAUUUACCCUGCAUAACCUGCACAUAUCAUGAAUCAGGGCUGGAACCCAGAAAUACCUUUUGUACUUAGAAGUUUCAGCCCAUUUCAGAGGCUAGGUGACCAAGGAAAUACUGAGGUUUUCCAUGAUAGGGGGUGGGGAAGCAUUAAUAACAACCUGUGAAAGUAAUUCCUUCUAAAAUGUAAUCCACCUGGCCACAAGCUCUACACAGCUCCUCUCCUUCCCCUGCACCCCAUCCCAGUUGCCAGAUAUCAACCAGGCAAGCCCCCAUAUGGAAAUAUGAAGUGACAGAUGGAAACAGGCAAUAAGGGCAUAGGAAUGAGUACUGAAAGAAACGACAUACAGAGAACAAGCUUAUAACAGGGCAGACCUUAAACAAAUAAAAAUGCACGUAAGACUGAGCUGGAGAGCCUUAUUCUUUCAUCACUCAUGCUAGUGCACAGAGGUAUUCUCCCAACAUCCAUGGAAUUAAACCUUUGAAAUUUCAGUACAAAUAGAUGGAGAAAUAAAAAUAAUCAAAGCUAAAGUAUUGGCAGCAAAUAUACUGUGCUGCUGUAUUGGGAAAGAAAGUUGGGCUGCCACAUUUAAUUAAAAUGUAUUUGAUUUAUCUAUAUUCAUAAUCACAGUGGCCUUCAUAACACAUCUAAUCUACCAUAAAGAAGAAAAUGAGUUGAUUCUAUUCUUGUCUGGUUUUCCAGCAAGCUAUAUUAAUGACUUUUUCUUUUAGUUAUAAUAGAUGGAAAAUACAGUUGAGUUAAAUGAUGUAAUAAAUACCUCUACAUGCAGAGCAACUACUUGAAAAAACCAGUUAGGACCAAGUCCUUGUCAUAGCAUUUGUUUACAAAAUGGGCACGGGGCAGCACACUGAUGAACUCCAGUCCUUUAGUGUGGGCUCCCUUACCACAAGUACAGACAAAACUCCAAACAUUUAUAAAGUCUUAUAAAUAAUGAUGGAAUCAUAAGAGAGAAAAAGUAAGGGGCAUCUUUAGUCAAAGGAUAAAGUAAACAAACAAACAGCAAUUCAUGUAAGUCAAUGAAUCAGUCACUUAAUUUCAGUACAGUUAAGAGUGGACCUAGCAGAAAUGUGACAAGCUGAGCUUCAAGAACACCUCCUGCAUAAGAAUUCUGCUCACAAAUGGAAAUAAGGUAAAAUUUCUGGAUUACCAUGUUUUGCCUUCAUAUCCAGCUUCUAAAACUCUUCUACAAAACAAAAACUAAAAAAAAAAUUUUUACAAAAUUAUUCUUUAUUUUUAUUAAUAAUUAGGAAAAUUGAGUUGGAAAGUGCAGACAACUAGGAAAAAGUGCUGUGUUACUGUGGAAAUUUUUUAAUAAUAGGGACUUUACUGUGUGAUGAUCAGCUGGAUGUGCACAGCAUGCUGACACAAAAAAAAAAAAGAAAAUAAAUAUAGGUCAAGCCUUGAUAUAAACUGACAUUUUUUCCUCCUGAAAACUAUCACAACAGGUUCUGCAUGUGUGAAAAUUUGUAAGGAAAUAAAGGCCUUCUGUCUCAGAUGUUUUUUGAAAAAUAAAGCCUUCUUUAAAGAAAAUGUAUUUUUCACCAAUCCUAAACAAGUUUAAUCCAAUUGAACCAUGUCAGUAGAAGAAAUUUUGCUCAGUAGAGCAAUCUCUAAUUGGCAACACUAAUUUUUAAAACUCUUAGCCAGCUCUGUUCAUUUAUGAGAUCUCAUGUUUUUGUUUUACUGUGAAGUUCAGUGUUGUGAAAUAACAGACAUUAACUCGUGCCUGGAUCUCUAACCUUUAUUUUUUAAAGCCUGAAUAACUGAAACAUAUUUUCUUUUCACAGAAAGAAGUCUGGGAAACUACCAGCUCCUUGCAGAAAGACUGAAACAUGAUGGGCAGAGAAGGGUGUUGGUGUCGACAUUUGAGGAUGCAGUCAAGUCAAUGGAGUUCUGUUGUAGUGGUUGCUUCAGUGAACAUUCAACGCUGUCGGCCUUAACACCGAAGAUAGCAACCUAACCAUCAUAUGAUGUUUCUCCCUCACCCUGCCAAGCUUUACAAAAAGGUCACAAUCAACAUUCAUUGCUGUCGGUGGGUUUAACUAUGUGGACAAGCUCACUGAACAAUGAAUGCAACUGUGGCCUCACAUUGUACAGUUGCCGUUGAGAGGAGUAGCAGCUCUGAAGGCAAUAGUGAGAAGCAAACACUUCUUUUGAGCUACAGUAUUCUGGUCAGAAAAAUAGUUGGGGGUAUCCAGAUUUUGCUUGUUUGGUUCUGAGUGUGUUUAACUUAGCUGACUGGAAAAGAAAACCCACUGCGUUUUUCUGGGGUAUUGUCCUCACAGGCUUCAGUACCACUGAAAAUACGAAAGUUCUUAUUUAGUAUGUGUGCAGAAAAAAUAACAGGACAGGACACUCAGUAUAUCCACUCCUAAGGACUCUAACAUAAGAGGAAAGAAUAUUUAGUUGUCAUUUAACUAGGCACUGUUGAAGGGUUCAAAAGUUUAUUCUAUAUUUGUCAUGACAUAUACAGCUGGGAACAAAUGGGAUUUAAGAGUUAUGGAUAAAAAUAUUAUGUCAAAAAUAUUAAUUAAUUUUAUAUGAAACUGAUUUUAAGAACACAAAUACUACUGCAUUUGCUAUUUUUAGGGGUCUGAAAGAUGACAGAGAAAUGUAUAUCCAGAAAUAAUAAUGGAAAAGCAGUUAAAUUGUAAAGUUGUUAAAUUGCAAACUGAGUACCUAUGUCAUGCUCUGAGUUUUGCAAUAAGAAAAUAAAAUGUAAAUAAGCUCA